rnacentral:rRNA from 1 species
UCCUGUGUUGCCAGCGGUCCGGCCGGGAACUCAAAGGAGACUGCCAGUGAUAAACUGGAGGAAGGUGGGGAUGACGUCAAGUCAUCAUGGCCCUUACGACCAGGGCUACACACGUGCUACAAUGGCGCAUACAAAGAGAAGCGACCUCGCGAGAGCAAGCGGAC